ensembl:snRNA U2 U2 spliceosomal RNA
AUCGCUUCUCACCCUUUUUGGCUAAGAUCAAGUGCAGUGUCCGUUCUUUUCCGUUUAAUAUCUGAUACGUACCACAUUGUGGUACCUUACAUGAAAUAGAUGUUUUUUUGGGACAGGGGGAUGGAAUAUAGACUUACUCUGUCCACUCAGCCUGGACUUACAGUACUUCUCCGCUUGAGGAGGGAAA